AUAUAUGUACCUCUGAAAGUCACAAACAGCUGGAACCAAAUUCCUUGUGAGUGUCAACUAAUUCCAAUUCUAAUUCUAAUUCUAAUUCUCCUUUAGUGACAUCAUGAACUUCCCAACCAAUAAAAUACUACUAAAGUAACCACUAAGUAAGUACUGGGUUAAAAAAAAGGGUUGGAAGUGAUUCUCCAAGUGAUUCUUCAGAACAAUCUCUGAGAUGUGUUUAGAAAAAGAAACAACGGCCCCACAACUGAAACCGUAAAGUGUCUUCAGACCGUUACCUUGUUUUUCCCUGACGUGUUCCUGUGCCGUUUCUCCACCUGAACCCACUGGUUCUCCGGAUCAGGCGUUCUGCUGGACAGCCCCUCGACGGUCCUCUCAUCCGAGCUGGACACACUUUUCGACUCGACCUCGAACGACUCAUCAGACUGCGGUUUGGUGUCAGUAUCAGAGCUGUCGUUUAUUAGGCCAUUUGUGGCAGCAGGAGGCUCGACUGUGGUCUGGUUGGCCGGGGAAGUUGAACCUGAAACGGAGGAGGAAGAGAUUAGCUGUGGUGAUUUGUGAAGGUCAAAAUUUCAAAUUUGAGUCAGGGUCAAGAUCAGGAUUAAAGGUCACCUCCUUGAUGAGACUGACGUCGGUGGUGAGAGCUUGGAUCCGGCGGAAGCCGGCAAUGAGAGAGAUGGGCAGGAAGCCCUUGG